UCUCCCCCGCAGCACGUCGUGUCGCUUCACUCCCUUCUCUAGGCCUCUUCCUGGACUUCGAGCCUGACCCUCUCCCACUUUGUCCAGAUGUCUCGUUUUUCCCACAACCCCAGCCACCCACCCCACAGUCGAAAGGAACAGGUUUGUGCAGGGGAAACUCAGUGGAGAGGAAGAUAUAUAUCCCCUUAAAUAAAACAGCUCCCUGUGUUCGCCUGCUCAACGCCACUCAUCAGAUUGGCUGCCAGUCUUCAAUUAGUGGAGACACAGGGGUUAUCCACGUAGUAGAGAAAGAGGAGGACCUACAGUGGGUAUUGACUGAUGGCCCCAACCCCCCUUACAUGGUUCUGCUGGAGAGCAAGCAUUUUACCAGGGAUUUAAUGGAGAAGCUGAAAGGGAGAACCAGCCGAAUUGCUGGUCUUGCAGUGUCCUUGACCAAGCCCAGUCCUGCCUCAGGCUUCUCUCCUAGUGUACAGUGCCCAAAUGAUGGGUU
rnacentral:lncRNA from 1 species